rnacentral:rRNA from 1 species
UGCGUAGGCGGAAUUUUAAGUCAGUGGUGAAAUCCUGCAGCUCAACUGUAGAACUGCCAUUGAUACUGAUCUUCUUGAAUUUAGUUGAGGUGGGCGGAACGUGUAAUGUAGCGGUGAAAUGCUUAGAUAUUACACAGAACACCGAUUGCGAAGGCAGCUCACUAAACUAACAUUGACGCUGAGGCACGAAAGCGUGGGUAGCGAACAGGAUUGAUACCCUGGUAGUCC